UGGGGAAUCUUGCACAAUGGGGGCAACCCUGAUGCAGCGACGCCGCGUGAGCGAUGAAGCCCUUCGGGGCGUAAAGCUCUUUCGACCGGAACGAUAAUGACGGUACCGGGAGAAGAAGCUGCGGCUAACUACGUGCCAGCAGCCGCGGUAAUACGUAGGCAGCAAGCGUUGUUCGGAGUUACUGGGCGUAAAGAGUGCGUAGGCGGUUUUCUAAGUUCGGUGUGAAAUCUCCUGGCUUAACUGGGAGGGUGCGCCGAAGACUGGGAAGCUGGAGUGUGGGAAAGGCAGGCGGAAUUCCUGGUGUAGCGGUGAAAUGCGUAGAUAUCAGGAGGAACACCGGCGGUGUAGACGGCUUGCUAGACCAUAACUGACGCUGAGGCACGAAAGCGUGGGUAGCAAAC
rnacentral:rRNA from 1 species